rnacentral:rRNA from 1 species
AUUGAACGCUGGCGGCAGGCCUAACACAUGCAAGUCGAACGAGUGGCGGACGGGUGAGUAAUGUCUGGGAAACUGCCUGAUGGAGGGGGAUAACUACUGGAAACGGUAGCUAAUACCGCAUACCAUCGGAUGUGCCCAGAGGGGAUUAGCUAGUAGGUGGGGUAACGGCUCACCUAGGGGACGAUCCCUAGCUGGUCUGAGAGGAUGACCAGCCACACGUGAACGUAGACACGGUCCAGACUCCUACGUGAGGCAUCAGUAGGGAAUAUUGCACAAUGGGCGCAAGCCUGAUGCAGCCAUGCCGCGUGUAUGAAGAAGGCCUUCGGGUUGUAAAGUACUUUCAGCGGGGAGGCGUUACCCGCAGAAGAAGCACCGGCUAACUCCGUGCCAGCAGCCGCGGUAAUAC